GCCAAUUGAACGGCUGUGAUUCAAUGUUCUGCCGCGGCAGACCAUAGUCGGGCACUCCCCCUGAUGACCGAUGUGAUCCGUAAUUUUAGGAUCAUCCUCAACCUCCCUCCCCUUGAAUUCGCACAGAUUUGCUCCAUCCCUAACCUCCCCGGCGCCCUACCGCCUCCUCCCCUCAUCACCGCCCCUCGCCAGCCGUCCGUCCUGCAUGCAGACUCUCGCUGCCGACCCCGUCUGGUCUACCCGCAGACCCGCCGCUCCCUCUUCGCCGUCCUUCAGUUCUGCCCCUGCCGCCCCUCUCUCUUGCAGCGGAGCAGAAGCGGAAGCGCCGGGAGAAGAUCAACCGACAAUUCGUUGAGCUAUCCACCGUCAUCCCCGGCCUCAAGAAGUACGUCAAGCAGUAGCAGGAAAAUCUCAAGGCACUCGAGGACGCAACCUCCAGAGCAUCCAGUCCACGGUGCUCAUCAGGAAGUUGUGCAUAGCUGCGCCCUUAAGACGUCGGCGGCUGCUGCCCGUCAUCGUCUGCAGCGGCCGUAGCUGGAAUCACGACGCCAACGACCGGGAAAGUGCUGAUGGAGGCGAGAAGGACAGUUGGAGUCACCGGCGUCGCUUAUGGAGCUCCACACCAUUGCCCAGUUGUACAAUAGCAUGUGCAAUCUUCUCCAUUCAAGACUAAGUGCAAAUUGUGAACUCUUUGCCAAACAAGAAGAUAUGAGGAUCAGGCAUAUAGGCCCCCAUAAGGAACGUGGAGAGAUGAAUCUGGUCGAUUGUAGCCACAAGGGAUACUGCUGUAGUAUUUGGGAGAAAGAGUACGUCUGCACGUGAUGGUGAUAUGCCAAAGUUUUGUAUUUCCUAGAUAAAUUUGCUACAUGGGAAGAUUCCUCAAUGGCAACAAUACACCAUGAUAGUGAUAAUGAUAUACAUCCUAUGCUGAACAAGAGCAAGACAGAAAAGAGUAAAAGAUUGUCUCCGAAGUAAUUACGGAUUGCUUCCAGUGAUUUUCAAUUCCAAGUAAUAAGGAAUAUAAGGUUACAAUUCAUCACCUGAAAAAACAGAUCUUUGUAGUCAUAGUAAUGUCUUCUCCAAUUGACCAUACCCUUAAGCAUUUGAUGAAAGUGGAUAUAUCAUCAAGAGCCUUGCAAGCAAAUUUAUCUACAAUAGGAAACACACGAUGAUGACAUAUCAGAUAUUCCAAAUCACUAUAUGAAAUGUUUAAUGUUUACUUCCCCUUGUAACGUUAGCUUAUCUAGCAAAUUUCUGUUAUUCUGUACAUCUGAUUGAUAAGUUUCAAAUAGUACAGGAACCAGAUAUCCUAGAGUAGGGAUCAACACUAAUUACACCUCUUGACACGCUCAUUUGAAAGUCAAGUAUAUUUAUGCAGCAAUGCCUUA